GGCAUUACAUCGUGGUAUGAGCGUGUAAUCCAGCGCUGUUCCGACGUAGUAUUUGGAACAACGUGAAAGUACGUGGUCACACGGGGCCACGUGCGAUCGGACCACCACUGCCGAUCGUUUUUCGCAAGUGGUUCAGGUACGCGGAUGUGAUUAUUCCUGAUUUACGGUCGAUUAAUCUCGAAUGAUUACGAAUUUCUGUGAUUGGAAAGCGCGUUCAUUGUUUCCACGUUAAAAAUGUGGGAAUGUAGAAUAUUAAGUCAGAUAAAAGUCGAUCCAGCGAGAGACAAAACGCAUCUGUGGCUAGUAAAUGCCAUCAUCAUAAUUCUAAUAAUAGAAAUCUAUUGCUUGUGUUGCCGACCUCAAUGACGUAAAUUAUACGUUUACAGAAUAAGAACAGGAAAAGUCGCGCGCAUUUUAUGUAGUGUGAUUAUCAAAAUAUACACUGUACAAGUGCAUAUUUUGAUUAAAAAUGCUGAGGCAUAUCCAAUGAUUCAAUUGGUCUCAAUCUAUAUCAGCUUUUCCGAAAUUUUUUGCCAAGGAAAAUCUCUCGUUCGGAAUUCGUUAUAAAAACUGUUGAAACUUUAUACGAACUUUCAUUUCAAAUUGGAACAUCGUGUAUAUUGCAGAACCUGUCGUAAAACGGCAAAGUUGAAUCGCGAUGACAAGCAACACGGAGAGAACAGAAAAGUUGCUCAAUAAAAACGUGGUCGAUCGAUGUGAAUGUAAAUUCGAUGGAGACAUUUAUGCGGGACGUUUAUUUAAAGAUUUUGCAAUAUUGAAAAACGGGAAAUGAAUUCAUCGGCAAGAAAUCGCCAAGAAUCUUAUAUCUCAAUUUUUUCUUCUCCUUAAAUUACUUUAAUCACUAACCGUUCAUACGAAAAUACAAGUCGCGUAUUGCUGCACUGUCGUCAUUGAAUUUCGUAAUGCUCAAUACACACUUAAUGCAAUAAUAAUUUUUCAAACUUGGUGCUAACGUUAUUAAAAAAUUGUGAUCAAAAAUAAAUUUGUGUAAAUCAUAAAAGUUUGCACCGGAAUCACAGGCAAAAUUAUCAGACAAAAUGAUAAAAUGAGAUAAUCCAAUCUUAUCUAUUUAUCUAUCUGAAAUAAAUGUUAUCUACUUUGCAAAAAUGUCUCUAAAUAUAUUAAUAAACUAUAAAUAGUAUGAACGUAUAGUAUGACGUGUAUACACGAAUAUUUACAAUUUGGAUGC